rnacentral:lncRNA from 1 species
UAGCCUUAGUUGUGUAAUUCCGACAUUCGGUUGUGGGCUGCGGUAGCGGAAAUUCUUGCUAGUUAACGUCAAUUUCCUAUUCAAAUCAAAGAAUACAUAGUAUUAUUUAAGUAUUAAACAGAUUCAUUUAUAAUCUUGGAUUCUUUGAAGUUCGAUUGAAAAAUAUUUACCAAUUUGGUGGCCUACGGUACCUAGUUCAGUCAACUUCAGUGGGAAGAAAGAAACUGUCAUUACUAAUGAGUAAUGACAUUACACAUAUCUAGGGUCUGAAGUGGUCAUUCCUGUUAGUAAAAAAAUGUUUUUUUUUGCACUGGCAAUUGUAAAUAUUUUUUCAUUUCUACGCAUUGAGAGUAUUGUCUUGACUCUUGAGCAAUGAGCAUGACAGCAAAAGGCUCUGGCACUGACACUGAAAUGUUUAUGAUGCAGGUGGGUGAGGGAGCUGCCUGUGUCUAGCUACUCUGCUUCUCUGGUCGGUCAAGCCAACAUGGAGUCUUCGCUG